GCUCUCAGUUAUUGACCCGCGGAGGUUUGGGAACGGGAGGCGUGCGCGCGCAUCGGUCUAGAUCUCAGCUCUAGACCUUUCCUAGCCGCGAUGCCGGCACCUUGCGACUCCUGUAAAAGCACGUGCGGCGGCGGCACGGCCGCGUGCGGCGCUGGCUGCACCUGCGGCCCGAACUGCGCCUGCGGCGAUGGCAAGCCUUCUGGGGGCAAGCCUUGCUGCCAGGGAAAGUAACCUCCAGCCUUCUUAGCUCUACAAAUCUUUUCAACAUGAAAAUCUAUUUAAAAUAUAAUAUUUACGCAUUAAAUAUAGCUAUAACGUAGACUUAAUUAUCGCAAACAUGUAACUUAGUUAUGGAAAUUCUAUAUUUUAUAUCUAAUGAUAGGUAAUAGGGCAAUGUUGUGUCGUCAUGAAAAUUAAUGUAAUUAGAAUUACGCUUAAAGUAUUAAAAAAAUCUUAUUACUUAUUAUAUAAUUAUUAUUAUGUUAUAGGCUAUGUAUUGUUAGGCUAGCAGAUUGCUUAUGUCUAUUUACUAGAUAUUACAGUGUAUUAAGUAGUUUUAUCACAUUCAGUGUAAUAACGUCGUGUAUAAGAUGGGUCUUUAGUACUGCAAUACUCAUUAAUCUAAGGUAAAUGUGUAAGCGCACGCACACACGCAUAAUGUGAGUGUAUGAUUAUGGUUUAAAUAAAGGUAAGCAUAAACAA